rnacentral:lncRNA from 1 species
CUGCAAACUGGAACAUGAGCUCCCUGCCAGGUCUCCAGCUGCAUGGCCCUCAAACUGGAACAUCAGCUCCCCACCAGAUCGCCAGCUGCACGGCCCUCAAACUGGAAUAUAAGCUCCACCCCGGGGCUCCAGGUGCACAGCCCUCAACCUGCAACAUCAGCUCCCCACUGGGUCUCCACAUGAACGGCCCUCAAACUGCAACAUCAGCUCCCCACCGGGUCUCCAGAUGCAUGGCCCUCAAACUGGAACAUCGGCUCCCCACCGGGUCUCCAGCUGCAUGGCCUUAAACUGGAACAUCAGCUCCGAGACCCUCAAACAGGAACAUCAGCUCCCCACAGGGUCUCCAGCUGCACAGCCCUCAAAUUGCAACAUCACUUCCCCCCUGCGUGUCCAGCUGCACCGCCUCAAACUGCAACAUCAGCUCCCCGCUGGGUCUCCAGCAGCACGGCCCUCAACCUGGAACAUCAGCUCCCCCCAACCCGGGUCUCCAGCUCCACAGCCCUCAACCUGCAACACUGGCUACCCACUGGGUCUCCAGAUGCAUGGCCCUCAAACUGGAACAUCAGCUCAACCCCCGGUAUCCAGCUGCACAGCCCUCAAACUGGAACAUCAGCUCCCUGCCGGGUCUCCAGGUGCACGGCCCUCAAACUGGAACAUCAGCUCCCUGCCGGGUCUCCAGGUGCACGGCCCUCAAACUGGAACAUCAGUUCCCCCCGGGUAUACAGCUGCAUGGCCUUAAACUGGAACAUCAGCUCCCUGCCCAGGUC